CCUCCAAAGGGAAGUACUUUCU
rnacentral:miRNA from 8 species